rnacentral:lncRNA from 1 species
AAUGCUCCAAGGGAUAUGCGACGGGUUCUUAAAAUGUUGGAUGAUUAAGGUGGAUUCACACUCAAGCCAAGCAUGAGACCAAGCUUUCUCCUUCACAAUAUCCAACGCAAGGAUAACCGCCACAACCUCAGCAUACAACAUAAAUUGAGUCCCAACAUAAGAGGAGAAGCAACCCAAAACACCUCUAGAGUGAUCGCAAAAAAUGCCACCAGCACCUCUAUGACCCGAGCAACCUCUAGCAGAGCCA